rnacentral:lncRNA from 13 species
AUGGACACAGACAGGCAGACAGUAGAACACUGCAUGGGGAAUAUAAUAGAGAUUGAUGACAUAGACAGGCAGACAGUAGAACACUGCAUGGGGAAUAUAAUAGAGAUUGAUGACAUAGACAGGCAGACAGUAGAACACUGCAUGGGGAAUAUAAUAGAGACUGGUGAACACAGACAGGCAGACAGUAGAACACUGCAUGGGGAAUAUAAUAGAGAUUGAUGACAUAGACAGGCAGACAGUAGAACACUGCAUGGGGAAUAUAAUAGAGAUUGAUGGACACAGACAGGCAGACAGUAGAACACUGCAUGGGGAAUAUAAUAGAGAUUGAUGGACACAGACAGGCAGACAGUAGAACACUGCAUGGGGAAUAUAACAGCACCAACCUGCAGAGCUGCCUCGUUCUCUCCCAUCAGCUGGUACACUGCACCCAGCGCCGCGCUCGCUUCGCCCUCUAGUGCCCGGUCCUGGGAGGAACAGAUUUAGAAUAAAUAGUGAUAGCAUAUAGAUUAAUAAAAUACAGGUAACUGCUAAAGGUUAGUCACCCCUCCUUCCCUGCUUGUCAUUCAUUCAUUGGAGGUAGAAGUCUUACCCCUGAGGUGCAGGCGAUGUUGAGCUGAUGCUCCAGGCAGGACAGGGCUUGCUCAUAAUUUCCCAGCUGGCUGUGUAGGUCUCCCAGCUCCCCAUAGGCCUGGGCCUUCCCCCCUCCUCCACCUCCUCCUCCCUCUCCGCCUCCUGAUCCGCCCAGCUCAUGGGCCACCACCAGUCUCUUCUCAAAACACACCAAAGCCUGCUGGAGACUACCUAGAGAUCUGAGAGGAGUUGUUUUUGUUUACCCCCAUUUGCCUUUUCACAGUUGCUAAUGUAGACCUGCUGCUUGCUGCAUAUGAGUCACUAUUGCAUUCAGAACGAGCCCUACCAAUUAUUUACAUAAAUGCAUUUGAUGAGUCACAACAUAAAACACUCAGCUCUGAAAAUCCAAACAUCAAAAGGCAUCUAGUUUCCCAGAGAGAUAUAUGAGCAACUUAAGAAGGCAAACAAGAAAACAAAUUGGGCAAUAACCACAGGACAUGUUAAUUUAGCUAGUAUGAGAUAUAAUACGUGAUAUCCUUGGGGGAGGAAAUGUAAAAGAGGCCGUGUCUGCAUUCUAACACUGAGCUGUGACUUUAUCUGUCUAACUACUGUACAUGACUUGUCCUAUCAUCACUCUGUCAUUCCCUCACCAGGGACCAGCAGAGAAGCAGAGAGAGGAGGGUGAGCAAGAGAUAUAAAGACAGAGGAGGGUGAGAGAGAGAGAUAUAUAAAGACAGAGGAGGGUGAGAGAGAGAUAUAAAGACAGAGGAGGGUGAGAGAGAGAGAUAUAUAAAGACAGAGGAGGGUGAGAGAGAGAUAUAAAGACAGAGGAGGGUGAGAGAGAGAGAUAUAAAGACAGAGGAGGGUGAGAGAGAGAGAUAUAAAGACAGAGGAGGGUGAGCGAGAAAGAAAGAGGAAAAUAUUGAGAGGGGGAGGGGGGGUAAAAGAGAGACAGAUCUAACGAGACAUACAGAGAGAUAAAGAGACAGACAGAGAGAUAAAGAGACAGACAGAGAGAGUGUCUCAGCCCUUACCUGUGUGCGUUGCCCAGUCCCCUGUAGGCUCUCUCCUGGUCCUGAACAUGGUUGAGACUCUGAGCCACGGUUAGAAACAUCUCACUGUACUUUAUAGCUUCCUCAAAGUCUCCCAGAGAGUCAUAACAGUCUGCUAGGUUCCCGUAGGCCCUGCCUCUAUCCAGCACACACUCAGCCCCACUCAGCUGCUCCAGCAUGGCCAACUGCUGCUCAAAAUACCCAAUGGCCUCCUCCAGGACGCCCAUGUUCAUCUUGGCGAUGCCCAUGUUGCCCUGGACCUGUGCCUCCACGCGGGCGUCUCUGAGGCCCUGUGCCAGGGUGAGCUGGGCCUGGUAGCACUGGAAGGCUGUGGCGUAGUCCGUCAGGGCCAUGUGGACGGCUGCCAGGCGGCCCAGAGCACCACACUGCCCCCGUUGGUCGUCUAGAGCGGUGCGGGCAGACAGCUCCUGCUGGUGGAAGGACAGGGCCAGGUCGUACUGACGGAGGAGUCUGGGGGAGGGAAGAAGGGAGAAAACCACUAUUACUUCUCAGUCAAUAUUAUCUGAAAACAUACGGGAAGUUUGUAAAUAAAAUACAGAUUUAAAUCCUAACUGGAUUAGGAGUCUACCUGUGGGCAGAGCCUAGCGCUGAGUAUGCGUCAGCCUCCAUUUUGUGGCCUUUGACCUCCUGAGCCAGGGUGAGCUGCUGCUGGUAGAACCUCACCGCCCCGGCCACGUCAACCCGACACACACACACAUCCCCCAGGUUCCCCAGGGCACGGAACACAGCCUGGACACACACGCACAUACACAUUGUUUUAAUGUAGAAUCUCACCACGCCUGCCAAGUCCCCUCCAACACACAUGCUGACCCCCUAACGACCCAUUCCACCAAUACCAGUUGUGC